rnacentral:rRNA from 1 species
GACGAACGCUGGCGGCGUGCUUAACACAUGCAAGUCGAACGGAAAGGCCCUGCUUUGGUGGGGAGCUCGAGUGGCGAACGGGUGAGUAACCCGUGAGUAACCUGUCCCUGACUGUGGGGUAACUUCAGGCAACUUGGUCUAAUACCGGAUAGGAGCUCCUGCUGCAUGGUGGGGGUGGGAAAGUUUCGGCGGUUGGGGGUGGAAUCGCGGCUUAUGAGCUUGUUGGUGGGGUAGUGGAUUACCAAGGCCUUGACGGGUAGCCGGCCUGGGCGGCUGACCGGACACAUUGGGACUGAGAUACGACCCAGCCUCGUACGGGAGGCAGCAGUGGAGAAUAGUGCACAGUGGGCGGAAGGCUGAUGUAGCAACGCCGCGUGCGGGAAGACGGCAUGGGGGUUGUAAACCGAUUUCGCCUGUGACGAGGCGUUAGUGACGGUAACGGGUAAAGAAGCACCGGCUAACUACGUG